GACGAACGCUGGCGGCGUGCUUAACACAUGCAAGUCGAACGGAAAGGCCCUGCUUUUGUGUGGUGCUCGAGUGGCGAACGGGUGAGUAACACGUGAGUAACCUGCCCUUGACUUUGGGAUAACUUCAGGAAACUGGGGCUAAUACCGGAUAGGAGCUCCUGCUGCAUGGUGGGGGUUGGAAAUUUUCGGCGGUUGUGGAUGGACUCGGGGCUUAUCAGCUUGUUGGUGGGGUAGUGGCUUACCAAGGCUUUGACGGGUAGCCUGCCUGAGAGGGUGGACGGACACAUUGGGACUGAGGUACGGAGCAGUGUCCUACGGGAGGCAGUAGUGGGGAAUAUUGCACAAUGGGCGGAAGCCUGAUGCAGCAACGCCGCGUGCGGGAUGAAGGCCUUCGGGUUGUAAACCGCUUUCGCCUGUGACGAAGCGUGAGUGACGGUAAUGGGUAAAGAAGCACCGGCUAACUACGUG
rnacentral:rRNA from 1 species